rnacentral:rRNA from 1 species
CACGUAGGGCGCAAGCGUUGUCCGGAAUUAUUGGGCGUAAAGAGCUCGUAGGCGGUCUGUUGCGUCCGCUGUGAAAACUCGGGGCUUAACCCCGAGCCUGCAGUGGAUACGGGCAGACUAGAGGUAGGUAGGGGAGAAUGGAAUUCCCGGUGUAGCGGUGAAAUGCGUAGAUAUCUGGAGGAACACCGGUGGCGAAGGCGGCAUCCUGGACCGACAUUGACGCUGAGGCGCGAAAGCCAGGGGAGCAAACGGG